rnacentral:rRNA from 1 species
UACGUAGGGUGCAAGCGUUGCCCGGAUUUAUUGGGCGUAAAGGGCGCGUAGGCGGUUCGUACAGUCAGACGUGAAAUUCCUGGGCUCAACCUGGGGGCUGCGUUUGAUACGUGCGGACUUGAGUGCGGAAGAGGGUCGUGGAAUUCCCAGUGUAGAGGUGAAAUUCGUAGAUAUUGGGAAGAACACCGGUGGCGAAGGCGGCGACCUGGUCCGAUACUGACGCUGAGGAGCGAAAGCGUGGGGGAGCGAACAGG